rnacentral:rRNA from 1 species
GAUGAACGCUAGCGGCAGGCUUAAUACAUGCAAGUCGUGGGGCAGCAUGAAGUAGCAAUACUUUGAUGGCGACCGGCAAACGGGUGCGGAACACGUACACAACCUUCCUUCAAGUGGGGAAUAGCCAAGAGAAAAUUGGAUUAAUACCCCGUAACAUAGCGAUGUGGCAUCACAUUGCUAUUAUACCUUCGGCGUUAGUUGAAGGGUUGACGUAUGAUUAGAUAGUUGGCUAGGUAACGGCUCACCAAUUCUACGAUCAUGAGCUGAUGUGAGAGCAUGAUCAGCCACACGGGCACUGAGACACGGACCCGACUCCUACGGGAGGCAGCAGUAAGGAAUAUUGGUCAAUGGACGAAAGUCUGAACCAGCCAUGCCGCGUGAAGGAUUAAGGUCCUCUGGAUUGUAAACUUCUUUUAUAUGGGACGAAAAAAGGUCUUUCUAGAUCACUUGACGGUACCAUAUGAAUAAGCACCGGCUAACUCCGUGCCAGCAGCCGCCGUAAGAC